UGCGUAACCGCAUCAGGAAUGACCCUGAUGACCCAGAGGCUACCAAGCGCCUGAAGCUCGCCAUGAUCCAGCAGUACCUGAAGGGAACCCCAACAUUCCAAAACCUCGGCGAAUCUUGCGCUCGGCCUGGGGCAGCAACCCCUGCUUCCGCGGCUCCUAUUCAUACACGCAGGUGGGCUCCAGCGGGGCAGAUGUGGAGAAGCUGGCCAAGCCCCUGCCGUACACGGAGAGCUCAAAGACAGCGCAUGGAAGCUCCACAAAGCAGCAGCCUGGUCACCUUUUCUCUUCCAAGUGCCCAGAACAGCCCCUGGAUGCUAACAGGGGCGCCGUAAAGCCCAUGCAGGUGCUGUUUUCCGGUGAGGCCACCCACCGCAAGUACUAUUCCACCACCCACGGUGCUCUGCUCUCCGGCCAGCGUGAGGCUGCCCGCCUCAUAGAGAUGUACCGAGACCUCUUCCAGCAGGGGACCUGAGGGCUGUCCUCGCUGCUGAGAAGAGCCACUAACUUGUGACCUCCAGCCUGCCCCUUGCUGCCGUGUGCUCCUGCCUUCCUGAUCCUCUGUAGAAAGGAUUUUUAAUCUUCUGUAGAGCUAGCCGCCCUGACUGCCUUCAGACCUGGCCCUGUAGCUUUUCUUUUUCUCCAGGCUGGGCCGUGAGCAGGUGGGCCGUUGAGUUACCUCUGUGCUGGAUCGUGCGCCCCCCUUGCCUACCCUCUGUCCCGCCUUGUUAUUGUAAGUGCCUUCAAUACUUUGCAUUUUGGGAUAAUAAAAAAGGCUCCCUCCCCUGCCCCUCAGCUUCUCUCUGGUUUUCUCA
rnacentral:sRNA from 1 species